GCUCGGGUUUUGGAUUGGCCACCGGGGAGCUCCACAUUUGCCGUCUCUCCGCCGCGGAUUGCUCGUCUCAUCUUGCUCCUCGAUCGAUCAUGGCUGAACAGACAGAAAAGGCAUUCUUGAAGCAGCCGAAGGUAUUUCUGUGCUAAAAGAAACCUGGAAAGGGGAAGAGACCUGGAAAAGGUGGCAAUAGAUUCUGGAAGAGUAUUGGUCUUGGCUUCAAGACUCCCAGAGAGGCCAUCGAAGGUCUGGCCUCGUAACUGUUUCUUGGAUGUUAGAUUUGAGUCUUGCAGUUUGUUCAUUCUUCUUUUUCCUUCCUGGAUUCAUUUUAGUUGGCCAUCCUUACAUGGUCUUGAAUGUACCCUUGGUUAUCUGUUGUUUUUUUUUUCUUUUUAUUUGAAGCGAAUUCAUGAUUUUGUUCCAUUACAUGCUAGAAUAUUCAUGCUUGCAAAGUAAAUUAGCCAAUUUUUAGCUAUUUGAUUGCCUAGGAAGUGAAAUGAAGUAAUGGAAAAUGCUUACAGUUAUUGCAGCUAAAUUUAUAAGCAAUGAAGUCAUUGUCAUUAUUGGCGGAUCUCGUGACUGAUAUUUGGUUGUCAUUUUAAACUGAUUUUUCAUUUUUACUUGAAUGUCUUUAGGACAGGGGUUUCAAUAGGCGCUCGUGCACUCGGGUGAGGCGAGGUGAGGCUUGAGUGCCUUAAGCCUUCAUUGAAGCACACCGCCUGGGCGCUCGCCUGAACGCAGGUGUCGGGCGCCUUGGGUGAGCGUUCGAGUGAAACGAAGCGUUUAAUUGAACAGUAGCUUAGGUGGUUUAAUUGAACCAACUAAACUAUAUAAUGUUAUUAAAUCUACGCACGCAAACCCCGCCCCUCGUGCAACCCGAAGCCAUAAACCCUACUUCAUGCCCAACUGCUACCUUCAUCGUUGUCGCUUCCUCUAUCAUUGCCUCCGUCAUUGAUGCACAAUAUUGACUCUUUCUCUACAAUCAACGGAUGGGUUCAAAGGUCUAGCUUUCGUAUGUAGUUUCCUCUGUCGUCGAUGCUUCCAUGUGCAGGUCUUUCCAUCAUCGAAAGAGCGGACUGUAGCUUCCUUUGCCAUUAACGGAUACAUCUGAAGCUUCCUCCGCCAUGAUGUCACCAUCCACAGCUUUCGUUGUCGCCAUUGUUACCAUCCGAAGCUUUCUUCGUUCUUGUUGUUGUCGUCUGUAGCUUCCUCUGACGCCGUUGUUAUCGUUUGAAGCUUCCUCUAUUGUCAUUUGUCGCUUCCUCUAUCGCUGUCGUCAUCGUCCGAAAGUUCAUCACCGUUGCCCUCUCCCUCCCCACUUUCUAUCGUCAGUAUAUAUAUCUUUUCUCCCCUCUAACUAUUGUUAAUAGUAGAUUGUUAACUACUAUUAUCAUAUAAUAGUUCCUAUUUAGAUUUUAGCAUUGUUAAUUUUUAUUUAUUAAUUAUAUUUUAUAUUUUUUAAUAUUUCAGAGUGUCUUGUUUUGCUCAGGCUGGCACCACCUAGUAGCCGCCUUGGGCAUUUUUAAACCUUGGCACUUUUUGGCUCGUAGCGUUUUUUAAAUCAUUGUUUUGGGAUAGGAAGAAUGUUUCAUGAAACCUGAGAAUAAUUUUAUUACAACUAAUUCUUGUCUAUUAUUCUGUGCUUAAGGAGAUGAAACCAAACGUGUACCAUGGUUGUAUGUCAAAAUUAAUGGAGAAAUUACACUUAACAAGGAGUCAUGAAAUAGUUGGAUCACAUUUAGUUAGUAGCUUAACUAUCAUAUCUUACUGUGUCCUCUUUUGAUGAUUGAAUGGUUCCAGGAUCACAUACAAGUGGCUAUGGCUGUUCUGUUCCAUGUAUCAUUUACUUUUGACAUAACAUUUGACAGCGUGGACAAGUUUUUGCAGUUCUAAUCAGAAGAUUGAUGCCCGUGUCCACAGAGGGUAGAUUGUACAGUCAUAUUACUUUCGGCUUCUGCAGAACAAUAGUAAUGUUUCAGGCCAGAGUCUUGUUGUGACAUCUUAAAUAUAGGAAUUGGUAGUCAUUUUUCUCA